rnacentral:tRNA from 1 species
GGGCGCGUAGCUCAGUGGGAGAGCACUCGCUUCACACGCGAGGGGUCGCAAGUUCAAUCCUUGCCGCGCCCACCA